CGGGAAUAUUGCGCAAUGGAGGAAACUCUGACGCAGUGACGCCGCGUAUAGGAAGAAGGUUUUCGGAUUGUAAACUAUUGUCGUUAGGGAAGAUACAAGACAGUACCUAAGGAGGAAGCUCCGGCUAACUACGUGCCAGCAGCCGCGGUAAUACGUAGGGAGCAAGCGUUAUCCGGAUUUAUUGGGUGUAAAGGGUGCGUAGACGGGACAACAAGUUAGUUGUGAAAUCCCUCGGCUUAACUGAGGAACUGCAACUAAAACUAUUGUUCUUGAGUGUUGGAGAGGAAAGUGGAAUUCCUAGUGUAGCGGUGAAAUGCGUAGAUAUUAGGAGGAACACCGGUGGCGAAGGCGACUUUCUGGACAAUAACUGACGUUGAGGCACGAAAGUGUGGGGAGCAAACAGGAUUAGAUACCCUGGUAGUCCACACCGUAAACGAUGGAUACUAGGUGUAGGAAAUGAUUUCAUUUUCUGUGCCGUCGCAAACGCAAUAAGUAUCCCACCUGGGGAGUACGGCCGCAAGGUUGAAACUCAAAGGAAUUGACGGGGGCCCGCACAAGCAGUGGAGUAUGUGGUUUAAUUCGAAGCAACGCGAAGAACCUUACCAGGGCUUGACAUAUAGAUGAAUAACUAAGAGAUUAGUUAGUCCUUCGGGACAUCUAUACAGGUGGUGCAUGGUUGUCGUCAGCUCGUGUCGUGAGAUGUUAGGUUAAGUCCUGCAACGAGCGCAACCCCUGUGAUUAGUUGCCAACAGGUUAAGCUGGGAACUCUAAUCAGACUGCCGGUGAUAAAUCGGAGGAAGGUGGGGAUGACGUCAAAUCAUCAUGCCCUUUAUGUCCUGGGCUACACACGUACUACAAUGGCUGUAACAGAGAGAAGCAACACCGCGAGGUAGAGCGAAACUCUAAAAGCAGUCUCAGUUCGGAUUGAAGGCUGAAAUUCGCCUUCAUGAAGCCGGAAUUGCUAGUAAUGGCAGGUCAGCAUACUGCCGUGAAUACGUUCCCG
rnacentral:rRNA from 1 species